CCGGUUCACCUUCCGGUCCAGUUUUAAAACCCGACCACAUAAACGCUCUUUCUCAAUUAGCUUCAUCUUCUGCUCUUCGCCUCUUCGUCAUCAAAACUCUCUCUCAGUCCGUCGAUUUGACAAUGAUUGACUUGACACAAGUUCGUUUUAUCAUGGGAGUUAUCGGAAGUGUUUUUACUACUGGUCUCAUGGCUGUUCAAGUAGGUACAUUGUGUCACGUCUUUUGGUUGAGAUCACUGGGUGUACUAGUGAUGGUUCUCAUUACGCUUUUCGCAAUCAAAAGUUCAUUUGCUAAAACAAACAUUCGUUGGUGAUAUUUUGCAAUAUCUCCUUGCUUAAAUAUCCCUUAGCUUCUGUCCUCAAAACGGCGGAGAUGGAGAUGGAGAUUGCGGAGUACUGUUAAGUAUAUACAGUUUUGGUUAACGUUCGUUCUCAACAUGGUUUUGGACAUUCUUGUAAAAACAAUGUUCCAAGAACAUUGGUGUCUGGUUCUCAGCUAAAUAGUCUAUGCCUAUUGUCUAUUAAAAAUCUACUGCAAAGGUGAAAACGGACUAGAGACUCGGGAACAUCAUAAUGAUAUUUUCUCAUAUAUACAGAAUUUUACUUUUCUUUUCCUCGCUUGAGUUUGAAAGAUGAGGCCAUGAUUCGAUGAUUAGUGUCUUCGACUUUGAGUCAUACUGGGAAUUAGUAGGACGACCACUUAUCGCCCCAUUUUAUUCUUCUACGUCUUCUCUAAGGUAUAUAUAUAUCCC